CCAUGGGUGCUGUGUAACCCAGUGUCUUAUUUAGUUAAAGGUAAUUAACAUAGGCUGCACUUUAGGUGGCACAUCCAUGGGUGCAGUGUAACCUAGUGUUGCUAAUGAGUGACUGUAACCCAGUUCAGUUUUUUCUAGAAAGUGCUGUCCUUUAAGUAGCAUAAAGACACGCAGACAUUCUCUUUAAGACAAUGAAAUUGGUGUGAGGGAACAUUUCUUCAAGUAGUAUGGUAGCACAAUGUUAUGUAAUUAAUGCAUUUUUCGAAAUGUUUAGUACUUUUCAGAAGCUUUAAGCAAGGGCACUUUUGUAAGAGAUUUUGGUACACAUACUGAGAUAAUUGAUUUGGAAGGCUCAGAUAUUAAAGCUGACAUGGAGCCUCGCCUUGUUCAGUGGCAAGGCAAGUUGGAUGAGCUACAUGUCUUUUUCAAGAAGUUGUGCAAGUCACGCAAAAAGUCACUAUUCACUAUUCACUAUUGUUUUUCUUGCGUUAGAUCUGCUUUUUUCGAUUCGAUUGCACCUUGACUAUUUUUGUACCGCUACUCCUCUUGCGUUAUAUUUAUUUAAAUGAGCAAUUUUUAAAAGACAGAAAUGUCCUUCUUUCAAUAACGUGGCGGAAUAAAACAAUUACACAAAGAUGUUACUAUGAUACUUUUUGGUACGAAAUAUUUUAUUUUUGACCAGCACUGUUAUGCCUAAUUUUGUCCAUAAACGGACAAAAUUGCUCCGAUUUUGAGACGACAUUACAGCUUUUU